CUUGCUAAGGCUGAUGGCGACCGGCGCACGGGUGAGUAACACGUAUCCAACCUGCCGAUAACUCGGGGAUAGCCUUUCGAAAGAAAGAUUAAUACCCGAUGGUAUAAUAAAACCGCAUGGUUUAAUUAUUAAAGAAUUUCGGUUAUCGAUGGGGAUGCGUUCCAUUAGGCAGUUGGUGGGGUAACGGCUCACCAAACCUUCGAUGGAUAGGGGUUCUGAGAGGAAGGUCCCCCACAUUGGAACUGAGACACGGUCCAA
rnacentral:rRNA from 1 species